rnacentral:pre_miRNA from 1 species
AAAAAGAUAAACCUUGGUUUCCGUGUCCAACGUUUGACCGUCCGUCUUAUUUGAAAAAAUUAUGAAAAAAAUUAAAAAGACAAGUCACGCAUAAAAUAUUAAUCAUGUUUUAUCAUCUAACAACAAUGAAAAUACGAAUUAUAAAAAAAUUUCAUAUAAGACGGACAGUCAAAGUUGGACACGGAAAUCUAGGGUUUGCCUUUUU